rnacentral:rRNA from 1 species
UACGUAGGGCGCAAGCGUUAUCCGGAAUUAUUGGCGUAAAGAGCUCGUAGGCGGUUUGUCGCGUCUCGCCGUGGAAAGUCCGGGGCCUCAACUCCGGAUCUGCGGUGGGUACGGGCAGACUAGAGUGAUGGAGGGGAGACUGGAAUUCCUGGUGUAGCGGUGAAAUGCGCAGAUAUCAGGAGGAACACCGAGUGGCGAAGGCAGGUCUCUGGGCAUUAACUGACGCUGAGGAGCGAAAGCAUGGGGAGCGAACAGG